rnacentral:rRNA from 1 species
AAUACGAAGGGGGCUAGCGUUGCUCGGAAUCACUGGGCGUAAAGCGCACGUAGGCGGAUUGUUAAGUCAGGGGUGAAAUCCCGGAGCUCAACUCCGGAACUGCCUUUGAUACUGGCGAUCUUGAGUCCGGGAGAGGUGAGUGGAACUGCGAGUGUAGAGGUGAAAUUCGUAGAUAUUCGCAAGAACACCAGUGGCGAAGGCGGCUCACUGGCCCGGUACUGACGCUGAGGUGCGAAAGCGUGGGGAGCAAACA